CAAUUAGCAGUGAGCUAAGCAAGGUUCUGUUUAGCUUAGCAACCGCGGUCCCUGGGGCCUGUCGUGGUAUCUCCAAGCAAGUCAAAGCCCCAUCUACACCCUAAGCCCUCGGUGGUGCUGGCAGCAGCAGCAGUAGGUCCUUUCCUUGGGUUCCCGGACCCCUGACCCUCAGAGGUGUCCCGGCACAGGGACACAGAACGCAUUGCUCCUCGCGGAGGGUGGCGGACUUCCCGCUGCGGAUCCCGCAGCUCAGCACCCUGUGGGUGGGUCGGGCUGUACUGGAAGGUCUAUCCCAACCCCAACCGUGCGGAGCUGAGCAUCCGAAGAAGGUUUCCUAGGGGUGGAGAGAGAACCGGAGGCCACCAGGACUCCACCGUGUCCCAGAUCCUCGCUCGCACCCGGGCGGCCGUGGAUGGAGCCCAGCAGCACGGCUCCUGGUGUUCUUGGGCUUCUGGCAGCAGCGAGGACUUUUCCAAGGUCAAGGCAUGAAGGUUGCUGUGUUGGACCUUGGGUCUCUCUUUGCCAAAAUCUUCAAGACUUCGACAACGGCGUCCCCCGAGGUUCCCUCGCUGGUCGCCUCCUCCGGCCACUCGGGAGGUGCUGCUACCUCGGGAUCAGCGGGCUCUGGCGGGGGCACUUCGCUUAGCACGACCCGGACCCUGACCCUCUUACCCUCCCUAGCUCCCGACUCCUCCUCCGCCUCCCGUGGCCCCGCCACGUCGUUGCACCCGCUGCUCACCGCCUCCCACCCCAGGGUCUCUGCCACUAGUCGCACGGCAGAAGCAUUAAGGUCCCCCUUUUCAUUACCCGGUAGCCCAAGAACACCGAAAGUCCAGCCUCUGCCCCUGCCUCCCCUCUGCGGCGGCUACAGUG
rnacentral:lncRNA from 1 species